AAGCGUUUGCGACCAGACUUUUUCCAGGCGGAUCAUCCGGUGUUCUCACCGGUGCACUUCGUCUGGUUUAGGCCAGCAUCGGUUUUCGUAGGGGGAUAAAAGCCUGGGGAAUGUGGCCCUCUCGAGGGUGUUAUAGCCCCUAGCAUAAUACCCCUACGGGGACCGAGGACCGCGCUCUGCAAGGAUGCUGGCGUAAUGGUCGUCAACGA
rnacentral:rRNA from 1 species